AGGAUAAACGCUGGCGGCGUGCAUGAGACAUGCAAGUCGAACGGACGAUCAGGGCUUGCUCUGAUCGUUAGUGGCGGACGGCUGAGUAACGCGUAGGUGACCUGUCCCGAAGUGGGGAAUAACUGCCCGAAAGGGUGGCUAAUACCGCAUGUGGUGGUGUGUUCAUUCACACCAGUAAAGCCGCAAGGCGCUUCGGGAGGGGCCUGCGUCCGAUUAGCUCGUUGGUGGGUAACGGCUCACCAAGGCGACGAUCGGUAGGUGGUCUGAGAGGACGAUCACCCAGACUGGGACUGAGACACGGCCCAGACUCCUACGGGAGGCAGCAGUCGGGAAUUUUGCGCAAUGGACGAAAGUCUGACGCAGCAACGCCGCGUGAGGGAUGACGGCCUUCGGGUUGUAACCUCUUUAUCAGGGAAGAUAAUGACGGUACCUGAUGAAUAAGUCACGGCUAACUACGCGCCAGCAGCCGCGGU
rnacentral:rRNA from 1 species